GAUGAACGCUGGCGGCGUGCCUAAUACAUGCAAGUCGAGCGAACAGACGAGGAGCUUGCUCCUCUGACGUUAGCGGCGGACGGGUGAGUAACACGUGGAUAACCUACCUAUAAGACUGGGAUAACUUCGGGAAACCGGAGCUAAUACCGGAUAAUAUAUUGAACCGUAUGGUUCAAUAGUGAAAGACGGUUUUGCUGUCACUUAUAGAUGGAUCCGCGCCGCAGUAGCUAGUUGGUAAGGUAACGGCUUACCAAGGCGACGAUGCGUAGCCGACCUGAGAGGGUGAUCGGCCACACUGGAACUGAGACACGGUCCAGACUCCUACGGGAGGCAGCAGUAGGGAAUCUUCCGCAAUGGGCGAAAGCCUGACGGAGCAACGCCGCGUGAGUGAUGAAGGUCUUCGGAUCGUAAAACUCUGUUAUUAGGGAAGAACAAAUGUGUAAGUAACUAUGCACGUCUUGACGGUACCUAAUCAGAAAGCCACGGCUAACUACGUG
rnacentral:rRNA from 1 species